ACUCCUACGGAAGGCAGCAGUGGGGAAUAUUGCACAAUGGGGGAAACCCUGAUGCAGCGACGCCGCGUGAAGGAAGAAGUAUUUCGGUAUGUAAACUUCUAUCAGCAGGGAAGAAAAUGACGGUACCUGACUAAGAAGCCCCGGCUAACUACGUGCCAGCAGCCGCGGUAAU
rnacentral:rRNA from 1 species